AGCGAACGCUGGCGGCAGGCCUAACACAUGCAAGUCGAACGGCAGCACAGUAAGAGCUUGCUCUUACGGGUGGCCAGACGCGGACGGGUGAGGAAUAUAUCCGACUCUUCUCUUUCGUGGGGGUUAACGUAGGGAAACCUACGCCCAUACCGCAUACGACCUACGGGUGAAAGCAGUGGAACUUUGCACCUUGCGCGAUUGAAUGAGCCGAUGUCGUAUUGGCUAGUUGGCGGGGUAAUGGCCCACCAAGGCGACGAUCCGUAGCUGGUCUGAGAGGAUGGUCGGCCGCACUGGAGCUGAGACACGGUCCAGACUCCUACGGGAGGGAGCAGAGGGGAAUGUGAGACAGUGGGCGCGAACAUGGUCCAGCGGGACCGCGUGUGAUGAAGAGGCCUUCGGUGUGGAAAGCCGUUUUGUGGGGAGUGAAAAGCAGCAGGUUGAUACGCCGCUGUUCUGACGGUACCGAGAGAAGAAGCACCGGCUAACUUCGUG
rnacentral:rRNA from 1 species